rnacentral:piRNA from 1 species
UGNGAAGUGUCCGUGACAGAGCCAGUGCA